CCAAUAGCGUAUAUUAAAGUUGUUGCAGUUAAAAAGCUCGUAGUUGAAUUUCGGGAUUGACACAUCGGUCGUGCCUUAAGGGGUAUGAACUGGUGUAGUCAAUUUCUCACCUUCUGGAGAACCGCGAUGCCCUUAAUUGGGUGUCGCGGGGAACCAGGACCUUUACUUUGAAAAAAUUAGAGUGUUUAAAGCAGGCAUUUUGCUUGAAUACAUUAGCAUGGAAUAAUAAAAUAGGACGGCAUGAUUCUAUUUUGUUGGUUUCUAGGAUCACCGUAAUGAUUAAUAGGGAUAGUUGGGGGCAUUAGUAUUCCAUUGUCAGAGGUGAAAUUCUUGGAUUUAUUGAAGACUAACUACUGCGAAAGCAUUUGCCAAGGAUGUUUUCAUUAAUCAAGAACGAAAGUUAGGGGAUCGAAGACGAUCAGAUACCGUCGUAGUCUUAACCAUAAACUAUGCCGACUAGGAAUCAGACGAUGUUAAUUUUUUAAUGACUCGUUUGGCACCUUACG
rnacentral:rRNA from 1 species